CCAGCCGUAUGGGAUACUCGUGUUCAUCUUCGACUCGGCGUAUCGGCCGGCUAAUCCUCACCUAGAUUAAUCGACCCACUGUGAUUAUACCGUCGCACAUUGUAUAUCGACUCGCGUUAUAACGUCGCACCGGACGAAAGAGCUCGACAGAAACGGACGUCAGCUGAGUGCUCGGCUGUAUACUCAUGAAGGUACUCGAACCGACCGAGCGUGAUCAAAGCGAGAACGUUCGUGUGUUCGUUCACUAUACCGUCACGCCACUAAACUAAAUCUCCAUUUAUCGAGGUCCCAUCCGAUGAUGCCCGAAAGCGAUUGAUCCCUUUUGAUCUCGCGCGAUCAACGGACGAAACGAUGCGCAUAAACGCUGCGUUUUCCCGGCACGAUCCUCGAGGGUCACGUCAGCGACACGGCGCGAGUCGCGAAAACGAUCAAGCGGCAUACAACAUCGCGAAGGGUCGCUGGAUCUCGCGCAAAGGUCCUCUUUCUCUCCCUUUCUCUCUUUCUCUCCUUCAGCCACGACGACCACGACAAUGAACACUGCCGGCGGAGGAAGGGCGGACGACGCGACGAGGAUCCGCAGUAGCGAUCUCGCAUAGAACACUGCGACGUGUCAUGGCCGAUUCAUCAUUAUCGCGUAUUACGUAUAUGUGUGUGGUAUGACGGGAGCGCAACUUGGAAAACGAACACGCACAAAAACCGUUUUCCUUUCUUUUCUUCUCUCCCCUCUCUCUCUCUCUCUCUCUCUGCUCUAUCUCUAUCUCCCUGUCUUCGUGCCGAUCGAGAUCCCUCCUCGCGAUCUUUCGGGCGAUCGUGCUCUCUUUCUCUCGCAACUUUUUCGUCGUCGUCGUCGUCAUCCACGAGAAACGCGGCUAAUCGCGCGAGCUAAUUGCGUCGGAGCGCGAGGGAACAGACAAAGGGCGCGCAAUGCUUUACGCAAUGGCCGCCGGUAUACAUGGCGCCGUGACGAAACGGCAGUUUCUCGCCGUCGGCGCGCGGUAAAGCGGUCUGCCAUCGUUCUAGUCUGCUCGCAUGGCGAGCGUGCCACUCGCCCUACCGGAAAUUCUGCGGCUUUAUCGUUGAUUGCCACGUCCGAUCGAUCCUCGACUUCGUGCUUCUCUCUUUCUCUCUCUCUCUCUCUCUUCCCCUUCUCCUUCCCCCUGCCUCUCCGUCUCUCCUUCAUGGCUUAGACUGUCAAUCUUUCUUACAAUAUAACAACGCAAGUACCUAACUCAAUUCGUUCACGCAUCGGGAGAGGGUCGAUAAGUAAAAGAAGAGUGACUACUGACUGCGCAAGAUAAGGAUAAGGAAUGCAAUGUACAGGACUUUACCGGUGGGUCUGUGGAACGCGCGGCGGGGAGGAGCUCGGGAUUCCGACAGUGAAGGAACUAGGUGGGUCCGACAAAGUACUCGUCUAGGAGUUCGUUCCGUGUACACGUCCCGAGCGCGGGCAUGACGGCCCGGCGGCACGUUCGUGCUUUACGAGACGGGACGAGAAGCGACGAAUGGACGAGCGCGCGGCUGCGAAACCAAGAGGGAAUUGUGACUGUGAGAAAUAGACAUGACGGCCGCAUUCGGAUAUCCUGCGGAACCAACUCGAGCACCUCGUUAUCUCUCUUCCUCUUUCGCUGUGCACGCGAGCCGCCUCGGCGACCGCUCGGACCGGAAGAUCCUUGGAAGAUCUGCCGGGUCUGAUCGGCCGUGAGCGAUCAGUGGACAACCGCAAUUCAGCUGAUCGACGAUCGUUACUCGGCUCGAAGACACGCGGGAUCUCCGCUCUUGCUCGUCUAUUCAUCGCUCGUCCGUUCGUUCCUUCUCGCGCAACUUGCGCACAGCACUGCGAGACGAUCACGUAACAUGCGUUCGCGGUCGCGACGAACAUUCUCGGGAGGAAAUUCGCUGAUUACUUGGCGCGUGAGCUCGGGAACUCGAGAAAACAGGAUACGGAGAGGUUCACCCAAGUAAAAAGAGGCAUAUCGGAGCGGCCUUGCCACGCCUCGACCGCCAUGCUCCGCCAUUUUCACCUGACACGGCCAUUGUGACCGCGGAGGUGCGGAGAAAUAUGCACUUUUGCAUUUUCGGUGGAAGACUUGCCGUCGUUCGACGGAUCUUUGCCGAUUCGCAUCGCGUAGGUCAAACCUGUCGACGCUCGGUCGUUGUUUAUUUAUCUGAUGCGAAAAUUGUAUCACAAUUGUGAGCCAAGAACGGAAAUUUAAUCGCGAUGUCCACUGCUCUCAAAGUGCAGGGACUCUAAGCGCGUCUCACGUGACUUCUUCCCGCCGUUUUGAUUGGCUCCAUCUCAUUCGAUACGAAAUCGUGAAUUUCAUUGGACGAGCGUUAGUUCGUACGAUUGCCGCCAUGCCAUUUUUUGUACAUUUCGUCUUCGCACGAAUUAUAUCUUGAAGCUUGUUCUGUUCAUUAACCGGUGAUACAAUUUAAGUCAGAGAUGGAGACAUUAAUUUUCUUUUAAUAAUACAAAUCUGCCUGUAAUGCUGCGUAAUAUUUAAUACUGUAUCCGGUUUUGCAAAUCGAGGACAUCGAUUUGCUCUUGUAAUUAUCUUAAGAUAAUGUCUAGCCAAUAAAGUGACUGUAUCUUUU